CACGUAGGGGGCAAGCGUUGUCCGGAUUUAUUGGGCGUAAAGAGCUCGUAGGCGGUUCGGCAAGUCGGGUGUGAAACCCCCAGGCUCAACCUGGGGACGCCACCCGAUACUGCUGUGACUUGAGUCCGGUAGGGGAGCGUGGAAUUCCUGGUGUAGCGGUGAAAUGCGCAGAUAUCAGGAGGAACACCAGCGGCGAAGGCGGCGCUCUGGGCCGGAACUGACGCUGAGGAGCGAAAGCCAGGGGAGCAAACGGG
rnacentral:rRNA from 1 species